rnacentral:rRNA from 1 species
UACGGGGGGAGCAAGCGUUGUUCGGAUUUACUGGGCGUAAAGGGCGCGUAGGCGGCGUGACAAGUCACUUGUGAAAUCUCCGGGCUUAACUCGGAGCGGUCAAGUGAUACUGUCGUGCUAGAGUGCGGAAGGGGCUACUGGAAUUCUCGGUGUAGCGGUGAAAUGCGUAGAUAUCGGGAGGAACACCUGUGGCGAAAGCGGCGCACUGGACCACAACUGACGCUGAGGCGCGAAAGCUAGGGGAGCAAACAGG